rnacentral:rRNA from 1 species
GACGAACGCUGGCGGCGCGCCUAACACAUGCAAGUCGAACGUGAAGCCUGGAGCUUGCUCCGGGUGGAAAGUGGCGAACGGGUGAGUAACACGUGAGGAACCUGCCCCGAAGACCGGGAUAACACCGGGAAACCGGUGCUAAUACCGGAUGUCCUCCCCGGACCGCAUGAUCCGGUGCGGAAAUGGAUUCCGCUUCGGGAUGGUCUCGCGGCCUAUCAGCUUGUUGGUGGGGUAACGGCCUACCAAGGCUUCGACGGGUAGCUGGUCUGAGAGGAUGUCCAGCCACACUGGGACUGAGACACGGCCCAGACUCCUACGGGAGGCAGCAGUGGGGAAUCUUGCGCAAUGGGCGAAAGCCUGACGCAGCGACGCCGCGUGCGGGAUGAAGGCCUUCGGGUUGUAAACCGCUUUCAGCAGGGACGAAAUUGACGGUACCUGCAGAAGAAGCCCCGGCCAACUACGUGCCAGCCGCCGCAGUAACAC